rnacentral:rRNA from 1 species
UACGGGGGGGGCAAGCGUUGUUCGGAAUUACUGGGCGUAAAGGGCUCGUAGGUGGCCAACUAAGUCAGACGUGAAAUCCCUCGGCUUAACCGGGGAACUGCGUCUGAUACUGGAUGGCUUGAGUUCGGGAGAGGGAUGCGGAAUUCCAGGUGUAGCGGUGAAAUGCGUAGAUAUCGGGAGGAACACCGGUGGCGAAGGCGGUCACUCGGCGUCCUGACGU